CCAAGGGGGAAAGUUUAGAGACACAUAUUUUAAAACACAUCUAUACAAAUUUUAAUACAUUUUUUUAUUGAAAUUUAACUCAGAGAAUGAAGUAUCAACUGCGCACUAAAGGUCUAUAUCGUAGUCUAAGGGGGUUCUGGUUGAACGCUGUGGAAGCUUGGAGCUGGAGUCAUACAAACAUUCUACUGGUUGAGGAUAUCCUGUAAGGACUCAAGUAUCUCACUGUUUGGAGGAGGUGGAACUGGAUGAAAGUCUCUGACGUGAAACAGUGAUCAGUUGUCUUCACACAACGUCUACUAGGAGUUCCUUACUACUGAAUUAUCUGAAGAAGAAAAACAUUCUGGGUGAUUUUGGAACAUUGCAACUGCAAGGAUUCACAGGACUUUAGCUGUACUCAAGUGGAUGAGGCAGUUCUACUGAUUUAGUUGUACUCAAGUGGAUGAGGCAGUUCUACUGAUUUAGUUGUACUCAAGUGGAUGAGGCAGUUCUACUGAUUUAGUUGUACUCAAGUGGAUGAGGCAGUUCUACUGAUUUAGUUGUACUCAAGUGGAUGAGGCAGUUCUUCUGAUUUAGUUGUACUCAAGUGGAUGAGGCAGUUCUUCUGAUUUAGUUGUACUCAAGUGGAUGAGGCAGUUCUACUGAUUUAGUUGUACUCAAGUGGAUGAGGCAGUUCUUCUGAUUUAGUUGUACUCAAGUGGAUGAGGCAGUUCUACUGAUUUAGUUGUACUCAAGUAGAUGAGGCAGUUCUACUGAUUUAGUUGUACUCAAGUGGAUGAGGCAGUUCUUCUGAUUUAGUUGCACUCAAGUGGAUGAGGCAGUUCUACUGAUUUAGUUGUACUCAAGUGGAUGAGGCAGUUCUUCUGAUUGCCGUAUAUCUUUUUGCGGAGUAUGGUUUUGGAUUAUGCUCUUUUGGAUUUAAAUUUUUGGGGACGUGAAUAAUGUAUAAAUCAACAAUCGAAAUGCUGAAAUGUAACGUUUUUUUUUUAACACUUUGUGUGGCAUCAGGGAUUCUCUUGUGUGUAUCCGCUGUCGCCGAGGACCAGAAAUGCAGCAUAAACGUAACCGAGGCCGACAGCAGUCUGGACUCUAUAACGUUAAGACUGACUACGGAGGGACAACAGUGUAACUUCACUGUGUUAUCUGUGGACAGUAGCUCUGUAGUAACACACUGUGUGGAGGAUCUGGAGGAAAAGUAUACCUUUCAAUGCCAGGUAGUGAGUUUACAACCCGGAACAUCACACACCCUGCAAAUCAUGUCCACCACAGAUGAACAACGGGCCAAUGUCACCCUGCAGACCAGUCCAUCGACAGUCAGUGGCCUACAGGU